rnacentral:rRNA from 1 species
UAGGGAAUCUUCCGCAAUGGGCGAAAGCUUGACGGAGCAACGCCGCGUGAGUGAUGAAGGUCUUCGGAUCGUAAAACUCUGUUAUUAGGGAAGAACAAAUGUGUAAGUAACUAUGCACGUCUUGACGGUACCUAAUCAGAAAGCCACGGCUAACUACGUGCCAGCAGCCGCGGUAAUACGUAGGUGGCAAGCGUUAUCCGGAAUUAUUGGGCGUAAAGCGCGCGUAGGCGGUUUUUUAAGUCUGAUGUGAAAGCCCACAGCUCAACCGUGGAGGGUCAUUGGAAACUGGAAAACUUGAGUGCAGAAGAGGAAAGUGGAAUUCCAUGUGUAGCGGUGAAAUGCGCAGCGAUAUGGAGGAACACCAGUGGCGAAGGCGACGUUCUGGUCUGUAACUGACGCUGAUGUGCGAAAGCGUGGGGAUCAAACAGG